UUCAAGUUUAAAAAAUUCAAUUAAAAUAAAUUCAGGUUGCUCAAAUUCGACCUGUCAAAUUCGACUGCUAAAAUACAACGCUCAAAAUUCGCUGUCAACAUCCAGGACACACAGGAUGAGCAAUCGAUUCAGUCCUCAAUCGAGCCAACAACCAGCCAAUCACAUCACGCUCCAAAGAUCACGUGACAGGUAGCGCCUCACGGCUCAGAGCCGCUCAACGCGAGUCACAGCCCCCUCCGCUGCUCCUCUCGAGUAGUAAUGAUGCCUCUUAUUGGGGAGCCAGGGUCUGCCUAGCUAGGUCCUGUGAACCACAGCACUGGGGGUUAACCAUAUUUUUCCUUGGUGACUGCAUGCUUCAGAGGCUGGACAGCAGCAGAAGAAAGCGGCUGUGAGUUUUCUUUGUUAGUGCUGCAUGAGGAGGCUGCGAGGAGCGUGCAAUGCUGGUGUCAUGUCUGGUGCUGAUAGCGCUCCUGUCUCCCUCGCACUCAGCUCUUCCUGCACUCUUCAGUCACUGAACUACAAUACCCAGAACGCACCACACUUGGACUACAAGGACUCAUCCGAUCACAUGAUUCUGCACAUGGCACUCAGGAAGUAAUCAUUGUAAUCAGCCUCACCUGUUUCCCCCUGUAUUUAUACCCCUCAGUUUACUCACUCCCUGCCGAGUAUUGUUUGGUUUAUCCUGCUUUACAGCGCGUCUUCCUUGCUUUGUUUUGAUUACCUGUUUUUGACCUAUUUUUCCGUGUACCUCGACUCUGCCUUUUGUCUGCCCUUUGUUGCUGUUUUUGCUUGUGUUUUUGACCCUGGACUGUUACACUGUUUCUGGUAUAUCACUCCCUGUUGGCUCCUGUUUAUCGGCAUUGACCCUUUUCUGUCUGACCACUCUUUGUAUCGCCGCUUUUUUAAAGUCCUGCCAGAUCAUGACACUGGGGGUGAGGACACAUCUUGAGGAAAUAUCUGCGUAAACUUUCUGAAUGGUGACACAAUAAAGUGGGGUCUAUUUUCUUGCCUCUGGGAAAA
rnacentral:lncRNA from 1 species